rnacentral:misc_RNA from 1 species
AAGAGACGUUGCCCUUCGGGGUAUACCUCCCACCCUUUGUUUAUUAUACCUUUGUUGCUUUGGCGGGCCCGUCCUCGGACCACCGGCUUCUGCUGGUCAGUGCCCGCCAGAGGACCCUAAAACUCUGUUUGUUAAUAUUGUCUGAGUACUAUAUAAUAGUUA